CCCCUAGAUGUUCUGGGCCGCACGCGCGCUACACUGAACAGUUCAACAAGUCUUAACCUUGGCCGAUAGGUCUGGGUAAUCUUUGAACGCUGUUCGUGAUUGGGAUAGACCUUUGCAAUUAUGGGUCUUCAACGAGGAAUUCCUAGUAAACGCAAGUCAUCAGCUUGCAUUGAUUACGUCCCUGCCCUCUGUACACACCGCCCGUCGCACCUACCGAUUGAAUGGUCCGGUGAAAUCUCGGGACGGCGGCUUGGUCGCUUGCGUCCGACUGCUGAAACUUGAUUAAACCAUAUCAUUUAGAGGAAGGUGAAGUCGUANCA
rnacentral:rRNA from 1 species